rnacentral:rRNA from 1 species
CCCUUAGAUGUCCUGGGCCGCACGCGCGCUACACUGACGCAUGCAACGAGUUUAUAACCUUGGCCUGAAAGGUCUGGGUAAUCUUUUGAACGUGCAUCGUGAUAGGGAUAGAUUAUUGCAAUUGUUAAUCUUGAACGAGGAAUUCCUAGUAAACGCGAGUCAUCAGCUCGCAUUGAUUACGUCCCUGCCCUUUGUACACACCGCCCGUCGCACCUACCGAUUGAAUGGUUCGGUGAAGAUCUCGGACUUCGAUAUUUAUUCUUUAUUGAGUUUAUAUUGUGGGAAGUUAUCUAAACCUCAUCAUUUAGAGGAAGGUGAAGUCGUAACA